rnacentral:rRNA from 1 species
GACGAACCGUGCGAACGUUGUUCGGAAUCACUGGGCUUAAAGGGCGCGUAGGCGGGCAGUCAAGUCAAGGGUGAAAUCCUGCGGCUCAACCGUAGAAGAGCCCCUGAUACUGGCUGUCUCGAGGGAGGUAGGGGCGUGUGGAACUUCCGGUGGAGCGGUGAAAUGCGUAGAUAUCAGGAGGAACACCGGUGGCGAAGGCGGGUCUCUGGGCCGAUACUGACGCUGAGGAGCGAAAGCGUGGGGAGCGAACAGG